GGGUGCAUUACAGGGCAAGUUCUCUUUGGCAGGUACCAACAAGCUAUGCAAUACUAUAUGUGUGUGCAAUCUGCCAAAGGAGAUUUGCCCAGCAAUUCUCCU
rfam:Glycine soja cultivar W05 scaffold1966_9, whole genome shotgun sequence.